rnacentral:rRNA from 1 species
UACGUAGGGGGCAAGCGUUGUCCGGAAUCAUUGUGCGUAAAGCGCGUGUAGGCGGCUCGGUAAGGCCGCUCUGAAAGUCCAGGGCUCAACCCUGGGAUGCGGGUGGAUACUGCCGGGCUCGAGUCCGGAAGAGGCGAGUGGAAUUCCCGGUGUAGCGGUGAACUGCGCAGAUAUCGGGAGGAACACCAAUGGCGAAGGCAGCUCGCUGGGACGUGACUGACGCUGAGACGCGAAAGCGUGGGGAGCAAACAGG